ACCUGGGUGACUCAGUGGGUUUAAGCAUCUGACUUUGACUCAGGUCAUGAUCUCACAGUUCAUGGGUUCAAGCCCCGUGUCAGGUU
rnacentral:tRNA from 1 species